AUAAAAAUGAAUGGAGCUGGGAGGGUUCAGUGUUCACUAUUGACUGUAGGAACAGACAAGUGUGGAAAUGAUGAAAGGGACAGAGUCAUGGAGAACUCUUGUCUUUAUUAGUAAAAAAGAUGUGAUUUUGCACUGAAGAGAAACAGAUGUCAGGAAUGCGGUUGCAGAUGAGGAGGGAAGUGGCAGAGGGAAGCUGAGCAAGAUCCAGGGUGAUACAGUGCUUGGCUCCUGGCAUAAUACCUGUGUAUAUUUCUCCAUCAAACAUGGCUACCAUAAGAAAUCCUUUAAAUCUCUACUUUUGCUACUGGGUGCAAAAGUACCCAGAUGCCAGUCACCCAUCAAUUUGCUGUUAGCUAUACCAGAGAUAAGGCAGGGUGAAGGUAGCAAGUGCUGAUAGAUGAGGGACAUCCCAGCAGAAAUGACUGCUUGGUGUUCCAACAAUGAAAAAUGGAGGGGGUAGCAAAAAGUAAAGGAUAGUGUGGGGAUAAAACAAGGACAAGGAGAUCCCAGUUCCACAGGGCAGGAGUAAACUAGUUUAAAGUCAUCCUUCCCUAUCAUCUUUUUCCCUUCCUCCCCACAUUUAGGUCUGAUUUUGUGUCACUAAAGCAAAUGGGAGUUUUGCAAUUGACUUCAGUGGGCACAGAAUCAAACCCUUUGUCUCCACCUUUCCUUCCCCCUUCCUUGUUGUUGUUCCUCUCCUUGCCCCUUUCCCAUAUUUCUGCCCCUCCCUACUUGUUAAUAGCAGUGGCAGAGCAGCAAAAAAAAGAGAUCAGAAGAGAACAACUCAAAAGUUUCAAUCUUUAUUCUCCAAAUACUCCAUCUUCACAGCCAGGCAGAAAAACCACCUGGGAUGCAUUUUUUAUGUUUUUCACAGUCAUGUGCACUUUUUUCACACAUGCUAGUUCCUAAGAAGGAAAGCACAUUCUUAGAGGGAAGACAGCAUGCUACCACCACCAGGACAAAAAGGAACACAGGAGAGAUACUUGGAGUCAAGAGUCCAGAUUGCCCUGAUGUUCUGUAUCUGGAGCAUAACAUCCCAUUGAACUCUCUGAUGUUUUUCUGCCUAUCUGAUGGGGGAACUAUAUUGGUGACUGUGAGGGAGAUUCCAUUGUGCCUGCUAGGAAUAAUAAUCUUCUCAGCAACUUCACCACCAAACAGCUUGCUGUACCUGUACCUGCUGCCCUGUCACCAGCCUACCUGAUUGCAUCUCCUUAUUUCACAGAAGCCAGAAAAAAGAGAAAGUUUGCAGUGGUGAUAUACUAUGGCUAUGUGACAUAUAUGUGACUGAAAUACAAUCAUUGGCAGAUAACUCUGAAACUAUAGAAAAUGAUGGUGAUCUCGAAGGUGGAUAGUCUUCAGAAUCCUGUAUGUUGAGGAUGGAUUCUCCUAAACAAACAUGAGAAUUCAAGAUUAGUCCAGAAGGAAGACAGGCAGUCCUUAAGAAAGAAGUAUGAAAUACAGAAGUUUACCACGCUGAAGAUCAUGCAUGUUCAGAUAUGUUCCUUUCUUCAACGCAGCUUCCUCCUGAGAAAGGAACACUUCUCAUGAUGAUGUUUCAUUUGGGCAACCAGGUCUUGCAUUUCUUUGUUGCACUGUUUGCAUUUUGCACACAUGCCUGUCUUACCCACAGG